UCAUGGGGCCAUGACGACUAC
rnacentral:siRNA from 1 species